rnacentral:rRNA from 1 species
UUGGAGGGCAAGUCUGGUGCCAGCAGCCGCGGUAAUUCCAGCUCCAAUAGCGUAUAUUAAAGUUGUUGCAGUUAAAAAGCUCGUAGUUGAACUUCGGGGUCUACCCAUUGGUCAGGCUUAAUUGUCUGCACUGGUGAGAUGGAUCUCUACCUUCUGAGGAACUUUCAUGCCAUUUAUUUGGUGUGAUGGGAAAUCAGGACUGUUACUUUGAAAAAAUUAGAGUGUUUAAAGCAGACUAUCGUCUGAAUACAUUAGCAUGGAAUAAUGAAAUAGGACGGACUGAUUCUAUUUCGUUGGUUUCUAGGAUCACCGUAAUGAUUAAUAGGGAUAGUUGGGGGCAUUAGUAUUCAAUUGUCAGAGGUGAAAUUCUUGGAUUUAUUGAAGACUAACUACUGCGAAAGCAUUUGCCAAGGAUGUUUUCAUUAAUCAGGAACGAAAGUUAGGGGAUCGAAGACGAUCAGAUACCGUCGUAGUCUUAACCAUAAACUAUGCCGACUAGGGAUCGGACGAAGUUAAUUUUAUAAUGACGCGUUCGGCGCCUUACGGGAAAC